CGAUCCUCCGUCUUCGCUCUCGUCUUCUCCUCUUCUCCGUGACAGAGGAAGCAUGGAAACCCACAGAUAAGUGAUGUUUCAGUUUCUCUUCUUCGCAAGCAAAACCAAAGCAGUUCGGUUCUGUUUUUGCUCUUGACGUAAUCUACUGAUUUUGCAUUAAUACUGAAUCAAUCUCUCUCGUUUUAUCAUCUCGUUUCCAAGGACGCCAAGGAACAUCUUUCUGUAUUGGCUUCGUCUCUACCAGACAUAAUGUUACGAGACAAAGAAGUCACAAGACUUGGUCUCGGUUAUGCGAGCAAGAGAGGUCACGAGAUGGUGUCGUUACUCAAGAGAAGUCAUGAGAGUUGAUGUCGGAUUAGCUAGAGAGGUCACAGGAGUU